AUUGAACGCUGGCGGCAGGCCUAACACAUGCAAGUCGAACGGUAACAGGAAGAAGCUUGCUUCUUUGCUGACGAGUGGCGGACGGGUGAGUAAUGUCUGGGAAACUGCCUGAUGGAGGGGGAUAACUACUGGAAACGGUAGCUAAUACCGCAUAACGUCGCAAGACCAAAGAGGGGGUCCUUCGGGCCUCUUGCCAUCGGAUGUGCCCAGAUGGGAUUAGCUAGUUGGUGGGGUAACGGCUCACCAAGGCGACGAUCCCUAGCUGGUCUGGGGAGAUGACCAGCCACACGGGAACCGAGACACGGUCCAGACUCCUACGGGAGGCAGCAGUGGGGAAUAUCGCACAAUGUGCGCAAGCCUGAUGCAGCCAUGCCGCGUGUAUGAAGAAGGCCUUCGGGUUGUAAAGUACUUUCAGCGGGGAGGAAGGGAGUAAAGUUAAUACCUUUGCUCAUUGACGUUACCCGCAGAAGAAGCACCGGCUAACUCCGUGCCAGCAGCCGCAGUAA
rnacentral:rRNA from 1 species